GUUCCGGUGGCCUAAUGGUUAGAGCGUCAGCCUCAAAUGUGGGAGGUCGCGGGUUCGAACCCCGACCGAGCCA